rnacentral:lncRNA from 1 species
CUGUGCUGCCAUAGCCAGAACUUCUGCGGGCCUACUAGUUGCCCUUGCUAUUUGCAUCCUCUCCGUCGGUGUCUCAUCUAUUACUGAAACCCCUUCUGAUGGAGUUUUCACCAUGUCCUCCAAUGGAGCAACCAUCAGUUCAACAACUGGGGGGUGGAUUUUCAUCCCUCAUUACCACAGGAGUCGAUCUGAUGGCCGAAGCUUGGGGGUAGCCACCCACUGGAGAGUCGCGAUAAAAGUUUGGAGUAGGAAAGUCUUGCAAUCACUUUUCUCUAACUAAACGCCCA